ACACCUCUCAGGAGAACUAAGCGGUUUGUCCAUAAUGUUUAUGAGCUUUGCACUGAUUGGCUCAGCUGUUGCUAGAGAACCACGUCAUUGUAGAGAACAUGUUCUACUGAGGACUCGCAGGCUGCUCUCAGCCUUUGAGAUAAAAGAAAAGAAAAAUAAGCGUUGCCGAAUAGGCUAAAUGUUAAAAUGAUUGUGCUGAGUACUCCACACUGGCGCAGAUUUAAUAAUGUACAAAACCUUAUUGCAUUCUGCGCCACUAGAUGGCAUAUUUGGGGCAUACAGAUCCUGGGAGGAGGAGAAGAAGAAGUGUAUGUCGUUGCUGCUAGCCACGUACUCACUCUGCCUGCGGUGGAUUGUUUUAUUCCCUGUCAAUUUAAAACUACUUCAGUAAAUGUAUUAACUUUACACCGAGCCUCUUCAUUGCCUACUACAAAGCAACUUUAUGCACCAGUUCGUCACUGAUGGCUCAUCAACGCGGCGGCAUCCUCGUCAUGGGACAGGUUCAUCAGAGUCAGGUGGUCAGCACCCAAACUAAAACCAUGGGUCAUGGUGAAGAAGUAUGAGAGACUGUUCUAUGUGCCCAGGAUUCGUCAGGAUGGUGUCCAAGAAUUACAUCCUAGCAGCACAGAACAGGACGCCAUCAUGAAGAAGUUGCCUGUGGGGCUUCACUUGGGCUUUGCCAGCGCCUCACUAUCAGUGAUGCUGGUCUCCUUAUCCACCGUGCC